UGGGGAAUAUUGCACAAUGGGCGAAAGCCUGAUGCAGCAACGCCGCGUGAGUGAUGAAGGUCUUCGGAUUGUAAAGCUCUGUCUUUUGGGACGAUAAUGACGGUACCAAAGGAGGAAGCCACGGCUAACUACGUGCCAGCAGCCGCGGUAAUACGUAGGUGGCGAGCGUUGUCCGGAUUUACUGGGCGUAAAGGGUGCGUAGGCGGAUGUUUAAGUGAGAUGUGAAAUACCCGGGCUUAACUUGGGUGCUGCAUUUCAAACUGGAUAUCUAGAGUGCAGGAGAGGAGAAUGGAAUUCCUAGUGUAGCGGUGAAAUGCGUAGAGAUUAGGAAGAACACCAGUGGCGAAGGCGAUUCUCUGGACUGUAACUGACGCUGAGGCACGAAAGCGUGGGUAGCAAACAGGAUUAGAUACCCUGGUAGUCCACGCCGUAAAACGAUGAGUACUAGGUGUAGGAGGUAUCGACCCCUUCUGUGCCGCAGUAAACACAUUAAGUACUCCGCCUGGGAAGUACGAUCGCAAGAUUAAAACUCUAAAGUGAAUUGACGGGGUC
rnacentral:rRNA from 1 species